GGAAUAUUGGGCAAUGGAGGAAACUCUGACCCAGCAACGCCGCGUGAAGGAUGAAGGUCCUCGGAUUGUAAACUUCUGUCCUUGGGGAAAAAUAAAUGAUGGUACCCAAGAAGAAAACCCCGGCAAACUACGUGCCAGCAGCCGCGGUGAUACGUAGGGGGUAAGCGUUGUCCGGAAUGACUGGGCGUAAAGGGAGUGUAGGCGGUUUAUCAAGUUGAAAGUGAAAGCCCGGGGCUUAACUCCGGAACUGCUUUCAAAACUGGUUGACUAGAGUGUGGGAGAGGUGAGUGGAAUUCCUAGUGUAGCGGUGGAAUGCGUAGAUAUUAGGAGGAACAUCAGAGGCGAAGGCGACUUACUGGAACAUAACUGACGCUGAGGCUCGAAAGCGUGGGGAGCAAACA
rnacentral:rRNA from 1 species